UAGUCAAGGGUAAAUAGCUGAAACAGUCAAAUCUUAAGAGACCUCUUUCUGAAGAUGGGAAAAUCAUUUUAACAAAACAGAUUUUCUGUCUUUUAGGUAGACUUAGAGCAGGCCGAAAAGUUCAAGAAAAUUAUCCUUUUGAGCGAGAAAGCCAAAUUCUAAUUUUUGUAUCAGUUUACUUUUUCAUAUUAAAACCCAUUUAUUUAAUUAGAUUCAUUUCAAUCUUAACCAACUUGACCAGGUACAAAACUCUUUUCAGAAUUUCUAUAACUUUGUUUUACAUUCAGAAUUUGUUCCAUGCUUUCUUUCUUACUUUCUAGUACUUUAGGACAAAUUUAUCUUUCUUAACCAAUCAAACAAAUAUUUGCAUUCUUUAUACCCUCUUUACUGAAAACAUACAUUUUAACUUUCCUUGAAUACAGAAACAUUUUCCUUAUUAAUUUCCAGUAGCUUUAAUUACGUAUGUUAAUUAGAACUUUUAAUCCUUACAGACCGUAGUAAAAAAACUAAAAACUAAGCAAUUACGAAUUGUCUUUUAUAUCAACAUUCUAAACACUUUUCCUAAUUUCUAGAAGCAUGCCACUUUACAAUAAACACAAGGCAUACUUUCUGAUAGACCCAAACGCUUUUAGCCUUUUUGCAAUAAGAAGCCAAAAGUAGAUAAACUUACAUUUAAUAAUUAAUGUCUAAUAUCUUAUUUGGAAAUAAUCUAGGUACUCAACAAAUUUUAUCAUUCACUUAAAUUAACCUAGCAAAAUUUCAAAGUUUCAAGUUACCAAAGAUUUUGGAAGUUAUUUUAAAUACACAUACCAUAAACUAUAAUUAUUGCUAAAAAAAGUUAUCUAUAAACUCUUAUUUCAUUUAUAUCUAAAUCAUUUGUUCCCAACAAUGAUGUUUAGAUUACGCACAAAAACUUUGAGACAUUAGACAAACAGCUAUCAUUUAAAGUUAUUAUGCUGACAAAUUUCUAACAGGGAUAACAUAAGCUCUUGUUUUUCUUCUUUUUAAACUAGUAAACCCAGGCUGCAUUAUUUGCAUCACAUGCAGUGCUAACUCUGGAGGACAUGUCCAAACAUUUAAAUCAAACCAACAAACUUAAACUUUCAUUAACCAAAGAUUAAUCCAUAUCAUCUUAACUUAAAAGACAUUGGGUUAAUUUCUAUUGCAUUUAGAAUUUAUGUAAGAGUUUACUUUAAUCCAAUUAAACAGAGCUCUUAGUUUUGGCCAUAUCACCCGGGGUAAAAAUAUCACACACAUAUAGACACACAGACACAGAGCCUUCACUCUUAUUGUUUUAAAAUCACUCCAUGAAUCAGGUACAAUACAAAGCUCCCUAGUUAUGAAUCAGAAUUUUGUUCUGAGCCUUUUUACUAAUAUUUCUGGAGAAGACACUCAAGGUGCUAGAUUUUUUUUUCUCAGCAAGGGCACGCUUAUGACCUUUCCUCUCUCUUUUUUUUUUUUUUUUUUUUCAGUCUUAGGAAUUAGUGAUGGGCUAGAUAGCAGUUCCUGGAGAGGGGAGAUGAUAAUCCUUUUUGAGAUAAAGGAACUAGGUGGAGUCCGAACUGCCUCUAGAGCUGUAUUUCCAGUCUUGCAAGGAUUUUCUAAGGACAGUUGCUCUUGAUUUUCCCAGAAUCUGGGUUGUAACGCAAAUUACAUUCCAGGUUGAUCUACCUGUCCAACUGCAUCACAAAGGCACAGAGAAACUCCUCAAGUUUUCUCCAAGCUGGAGUUUCUGGGGCAUAACCCAUUCCAACUAGUUAAAAUGCACCCAGGGGUGAGUCUCCGGGGAUGCUUGAGGCAUUCCCCAUGGUAGUAAAGCUGGUGUCCGACUGACAAGGCCAGAGAAAGGGUGCAAAGGCGCCUGACUGCAGGCAUCAACAUAGUUAUAAGAUCUAGUCAAAUCCCACUUAGCCCAGGGCACUUAGUCCCUGAGCCAGCACAGGUGAGCCAGGCAGGGAAGCAAGAGGCAAAGGCCUGGAGAACAAAGGAAAAGGGAUCAGGCCUCACCCUCAUGGCCUCUUCCCCAAGGGUUAUCGAGAUAGAGGUCACACAGCAGUUCCUGUGCUGGGGCACACAACGCCAUCAGGACAGUUCACAGAAUAAAUCACAGGUCUCCUAUCGUCAUAACCAACUCAGUAGGCCACCUAAAAUGCUUAACGAGUCAAUCGCCAAGAGAGGGCUCCCCACGUGGUCGCCGGGGUGAUCAGGCCCAGAAACCAGAGUGUGGGCUCCCAGACGUGGAGCCUUUGACACUUUAAAGAUUUUUUUGUUUCUCAAUUGCAAAGCUCAAAAGGAGCCCAAAAAUGGUCACUGUCACUUUAAGAGAGAGGAAAGAAAAGGGUCCAUUACCUUGAAAAUCUUCUGAACCUGGGGCAUCGUCCUACUUGUUCUGCCUGUGGGGUUCUAUAGCAAGGGACAAUGGGGGCUCCUUCUGCCUUGCAUACCUUGUAUACCUUCCCUAUUAUGCCUGGCAGUCAUAAGUGCCAGGCGAAUUGUCCCAAAGAUAAAAGAACAGAGAAAAACAGUGAGGAAUUUUUCGCCGGUCUGGGGGACAUUCUACCCAAUUGCAUCCUGGAGCAAUUCUCCCAAGAAGGGGUUCCCAUACUCAACCAAAGGUUAGAGUUUGGUACUUUCCUUGAACUGGAGUCCCAAUUGGGACUUUUCCCGCAGUUCAGAGCAUGGUCAGGUGCCAGAGGAAGGGAUCCCAAUCCAGCCUUAGGAAAAGAAACCUCUCAUGGGAGUCUUGGAGAUUGGCGGCUGUCCUAAUGACUUAAGUGGCUGACCCGUGCCCACGUAAAAUUUGUCUAUCAGAGAUAGAGUCAGGAAGGAAUGGAUUAAUUCAUUUUCCAUCACCCUCAGGCUUAAGGUACUGAUUCUCUUCAGGCUGAAUGCCACAAUUUGCCCCAUAGAGUAGCCAUGGGCAGCAAAAGUGGAUUCAUACAGCUGUCUGAGAAGGUUCCCGAUGGAGCAGUGAAUUUAGAUCCAUCCUUGAAAAAGAGAAAGGCACAAGGAAAACUAGAACUUUAGCUCACAAGCUGGUGAAGCAAGCGGGCUCAGCAAGCCAAGGAGUCAAGAGAAAGAGUUCCUGGGCUCAAGGCCUGGAAGUAGCGCUCCUUUAUUCAAAUAGCUUGGGGACAGGGCCCAAGGGCAAUGAAGAGCUGCAGCAUGGUGACAGGACCCAUGGCCAGGACUUAACAGGUCUUAGUUUAUCGCAUAAAGAAGUAUUCCCAGUCAGACAUUUUAAAACAUACUCAGGCAAAAUUGAUAUAACCUCUUUAUAAAGAAAAUCAGUUCAAGCAUUUCAACCUUUACAAUCUUAUCAACAUUAGGUCUUUAUAUUUCACCAAUUCAAUUAUAACCUGAGUCAGGGUUUAAACCUAGUCAUCAUUUUCUGUGUUUCCUUUUUAAUUUGGCCUUUUCAUAGAUACCAAUAAAAAUCAUGAUGAGAGUGCUCACAAUUUUUUUUCCCAAUUUAGAAGUUUUCCGAAUUUAAAUGAUCCAUCUCUGGCCUAAUUGACGAGUAGGAUCUUAACAGCAACUCAACCAAAGCUUAACCAAGGACAAAGAGGCAUCCCCAAAAGAGAUCCAGAAAAUUCACUCCCAAAAAUAGCCUAAGAAAGUAAAGGCCCUUAUUGCACAGCAAGCAACAAACGUUGAGAUGACAAAGGUUGAACGACAAAGGCCCCUUAUGAAAGCAGUUGGGACCUCUUAUGACAAACUCCCCUAAGAGCUGAAACAGCUGGACAAAGAGUGUGUCCCGGAACCCCAGUCUACUCGACUGCACCAAGAUGCGUGCCGGUCCAUGCAUCCUCCGAUGGCAGAGACCAGAAAGGUCACAAAGCCAAGCUCUCAAGACAUAGAACAAGACAAAAGGCCCAGACAACAGGCUUAUAGAGAUGCGUGUGUCUUAUGACAAACAAAAAGACAGAGACAAGGAAAAGUCAAUCUCUGGGAGGAAAAGGAUCUGCAACCAGUGAGUACUCAAAUACUAGAGUCGCUGACUCCAAGAAGCUAGCCUCACCAACAUUUUCUCCUGGUAAUCUAAAUUUAGAAGAGCAAAAAAAACUCACCACUCUUUCUUCCAUUGGAGCCUGCAGUCAGAGAUCCGGGAGACUGACGUGGUAAGAACUCUUACCUCUUGCCGGCUCCCGUCAGGGGUCCAGGAUCUCUCGGCCGCAGCAGUCCAGGAGCAAGCAAUGUCCAGCCAGGGAAAUUUCAUCCUGCUGACUAUGCCAAAACUGUAGGGGAGGAGGACAUUUCCUCUCCCCAAAUGUGGGUUCGUCUGGCUGGAGAACGAAUUAAAUUCACGUGAGACAGAAUAGCAAGAGAAAAUUAAACAAAGCUUUAUGAGGAACCAUGGCCCGGGGCCUUUCUUCCUGAAGGAAGAAAGGGCACUGAAGAAAUGGGGUGCACAGAGUGGUUAUAUACCCCCAAACGGGGUGUUUCACAUGUGAUUGAAAUGUCCCUCCCACAAUAGUCACAAGAUUGCCCCGUCAGCACAGUGCUUGAUGGACACAGCAAGCAGUGGUAAGUCUGGGUGAGCUAUCUCUGUGGGCGUAGCAGGAGGCAAGUCGAUUGUCUGAAGCUGGGCGGUCACAGGUGAGCUCAGCAAUCAGUUCCUAGCCUAAAGAAAGAUGCUUAAUCCUUAAAGAAAUGCCAAAGUUGGGAGGAGGAGGGAAGUCAGUUACAGGAGGUUACCAGACUAGCACAAUAAAAUGCAGAUUUAAGUCCUUGCCUUUGGUAUUGAUUAAGAGUUUUUGGAGAGAAGGUCAUCUCCUUUCUUCUUCCUGGUACAGAGAGGGAGGCGCCUUUUACAGAUAGAGAUUUACCUUACAAAUGUAAAUACGUCCUAAGGAAGGGCAAGUUCCAUUCCUCAGAGCCUCCUUCCCUGUCCCAGUUUAUCAAAAGCAAUCAGCCUCAAAUAAUCCUGAUGCCAAAGAGACGUAUCUUGGGGUGGCCAAUUUCAG
rnacentral:lncRNA from 1 species